rnacentral:misc_RNA from 1 species
UAACACCGGCGCCCACAAAGGAGCCUCGCGUUAGGAAACCGCCUCUCUGCAGUGCACAGAGUCAUUGAUGCAACUCCUGGUGCACCUUGACGCACCUUUCCCUGAAUAACGUCAAGGAAAGGAAAAAGGAUACGCACUUUCUACUCGAGCGCACGCGUAGGCACCAGCACACCCCCACACCUUGCACGCGGAGUUGUACACAGAAAAGCGUCGCUCCUCCAUACAGUCACCCGUGCAGUGGCAUCGCACCGCUGGGCCGUCACCUCACGCAUCCGCUGAGCGACGCCCACAGGAGGGAGGGGCGGGCAGGAGAAGAAAGUACAAACAGAGUAGCGAUCAUACGCUCGUCGACGAUUACGUACCACGCACACAAACACGCGAGGAUGACGUCAUCGUUGUCGUCCUCAACGCUGCGUCUGUCGCAUAGCGCCACCAUGGGCAGCACUGCCGCCGCCGCGGUAACAGGGGCAACAGAACCGGCGGUGGAUGUCAGCCUGGAUGAGUACUUCGAGGUCUGUCAGGCUUCUUCAUCGUCCGCCUCCUCCUCCUCGUCCCGCUCGUCCUCGCCGUCCGUGUCGGAGCCGGCGACCCGAUCUGUCGGGCCAUCAUCACGCGACGCUGCGUUCGGCGACAGAAGCAGCACUGCCGCGGCACUCCAGCACCACCACUCGCGUGGCCGGCGAAAUGUCAAGCCGGUCGCUGCUGUUGCUGCGGAUCUCCCCACCCCUCUGCGAGGCAACGUUACACGGCCGUUGCUGCAGCGUCCUCGACCGCUACGCAGUCCAUUGCUCGCGGAUGUGCUCAUAUCCAUCCCCUCCACGUUGGAAGACGAGGGUUUGCCACCGCACGACGCCGCGCCGUCUCGCCCGUCCACGUGUCCUCGUCCGCCUUUCCGGAAGCCGGAGUUUGUUGCUCCGCCGCACGGGAGCGCCGCGGCAUUCUCGCGCAACGGUGCAGCCGUGCGGGGGUCGGCGGGCCACUUACUCGCGGAGUGUCUGCAACACACGACGCUGCCCUGUGCUCCUUCCCUUUGCGCACCCCCUUCGUGCUCCUCUGCGGUCGGCCACUCCUGUGCCGUGCCUCCGGGGCGAGCUAGCUCUGUGUUUGCGUUUCACCCACCGCCUGCAGGCACCGCCGCUGCCCGAGGGAAGAAACGUUCCUCUAAAACCAUCACGACGCGAGGCGGGGCCGGUGCUUGUCCAUCGUCGACGUCUCCGUCCACUGCUCCUCGCGCCGUUGCCGCUGCGCAAGUGGGCUGCCUCGCUCGCCAGCGGGCGGUGCUCUUCGAUGUUCUUUGUGCCCUGCGCCAGCACCCCACGGCGAGUUGCGAGAUGUACUCGGACAAGGGGGACUCACGUAGCAGCGCGCAUGCUGACCUCUCUCUCGCCCCCUCUGGUGGCCCGUGGAGGCUGCGGGACGCUGUGCUGGCCGAGGCAGCUGCCAAGGCGUGGCCACUGACGUUCUUGGGGGCGCUGGAGCAGCUGCUGGAGGUGGCGAAUGUCGUGGCAGCUGUCGACGCUCAUGUGCGUGAAUGCGAGCCGGCCCUCGCCCACCACACCUCGCGUGGCCCCACGGAAAUGCACGGCGCCUUCGCUCACGAUGUCACGGAGAUGUGCGGCGAUGUGCAGGACGCGUCCGUGGCCUUGGAGGCGACAGCAGCGCGGUCACUAGAGCGGCUGUGCUCGGUGCUGCGGCAGCUAAGCGCCGACUUUGGUCGAUGGGUGCUGCAGCUGCAGGAGUACUUGCUAGUCGUGUGUGAGGGUGCUGCAGCGGCCUCGCAUCUUAGCGAACACCAACCGCCCCCUCCUCUCGCGGAGAACGUGCGAGCCGCCCUUUACGAGAACGAGGAAGAGGCGCCCAAAGCGGGAGGUGGGAGGCAGUACCCUUUCCGCGCUGGUUCGUACAUCGCGUCAUCUGCCGGUGUGGCGGCCACAGUGCUGCCCGGGUCGUGCUCCUUGGCUGACCUUGUGGCGGCCGUUCGCGAGAAUAUUGUCCCACUGCAGCGUUGCCACGUGCUCGUAGAGGAAAGCGGCUGCUUUGAAGGGCUUGUGAGCUUCGACAGGCAAAGUUCUGCAUCGAGGCCAACGGCGACCACGGGGGCGGCUGCAGCCAGUGGCGCUGGAGAGGAGGCGCCGCCGCGGUUGUUGUCGUGUGCGUUAUUGGCCGCUCGCCUCCUUGACACACUCAUCAUUCAGGCCAGCGCAUUCCAGGACACCUCGACGAUGGAUCUCUACCGCCUCUACGUCAUGACGCUGCUCUACACCGCGUGGCCGUACGUGCUGCUCUGCACAGCAGCCAUCUUUGGCUUUGUCCGCGGCAUUGACCCGCCGGUGUGGCGCCGACAGCUGCCGCGGCUGUUUCGCUCUUCGUUCUCCCACGUGCGCAUCGGUGACGCUAGCAGCCGCUUUCCCACAGACAUUCUCUCGCUGCUGCUGAACUGCGUCGGGUACUAUAACAGCGAUGGCGUUGCAGCCUCCGCUGCCGCGGGGGAGAGGGGGAAGGGCAUGGCACAGCGCACAAGCGUGCCGUCGUCAUCGGGCGCUGGGCGCAGCGGUGACUCAGUCGGUGCAGUGUGGAUGCCGGGUCCUCGACAAGCCGGCGCCGGUAGAAGCGGCCGUCGCAGAGGGGAAGCCUCCGAGCAGCACGCCGCGAGGGCUGCGCUCACGUCGGCCCGCGCGUUUGUGUUGCGCAGUCUCGCCAGUUUCACGCGUCGCCACAAGCAAAUCGCUCUCUCGCGGACCCCGAUGCAUCCACGACGCACCUCAGCCGCACCGGUCGGUGUAAAGGGCCACGCAGCGACGACGGCAGCCGCAGCCGCGAGAACUUCAGCUGGAACAGCACCAUGCCAUCUUUGGCACACGAAGAGCAUGAAGGAGAUUCUGCACUACAUCAUGUACGAAGCCGGCGACCGUCAAGGCGACGAACCCGGCGCCGGUGAUCAAGCUGGAAGUGGCACCGUCGCCGCGGUUGUAGCGUACGCCCAACAGAACCAGGACGUCCGCUGCCGCGUUGUGCAGGUUGCCGCACCGAGCACGGUCGUGGCGACGGUGGAUGCGACGGGAAGCAGUAACGCUGGUGACAGCGCCGGUGCAUUGCACUACGUGUACUUUCCCACAACAAUUCCGCUCGGCUUUGCCUCCAUGCUAGCGGAGGCCCUGGCAGGGCAGCAGCAGUGGCAGCAACGGCGUGGUGACUGUCGCGUGUCGAGCGUCGCCGAUGAUCAGGGCUGUCUGGCUCCGUCUUUACGCACAUCUUCCUUGGGGCAGCGCAAGGCAUCUGGCGGUGGCGACGGGAUCGGCAGGCCGCGCUCACUCAUGUGGUCCGAAGACGGGAAUGCGGCGGCUGCUUCGGACAGCAACAACGGUGACGACGACGGAGGUGGCAGCGGCGAUGAGGGCAGCAGUGUGCUGCGGCGGCGCGGCAUAUCGCUCUGGACGCUUGCCAUCACUGAGUCGGACACCACCCCGGACGUGCGCUUCACUAACAUCCUCGCUGGGGAGGAGGAGCAAUACCUAGAUGCGGCAGAUACCGGUAGCAAGGCGUUUGGCCAGGGAGGUCAGGCGCAGCGGAAGCGGCGUUCCCAUCAGCUGUGGAUCAACGUCACCAUCCCGUGUGCGCGCUGGAUCACGACGGCGCUGCUCAUCCCCAUCGGUGUGGCGGUUCAGCGGCUGCAGGAGCGUCGCUUGCGUGACCUGUUCACGCUGUCGUUGCAUGCAGACGCUGGCGGCGGCGGCAGCGGCUGUCUCUUGUCGCGUUCUCUGCAUGCGCCCGUGCAGGAGGCACAGCAGCAGCGGCAAUCAACGGACACGACGGCACCGGCGGAGCGGCCACCGUCUGGAUCCCUCGCACCACUCGAUGAGCUUGCCGGCAGAGGGCUUGUGAGCCGCACCGCCACCGCUACCGCGUGCUCUUUUAUUCAGGCGUUGAAGCUGCUCGUUGACGUCGCCCUCUGCCGCGACCAGGAGAGGCUUGUCCACGGAUUCCUGGAGCGACUGCACCGAGAGCCACGAUGGUGGGUGCGGCACGCCGAGGACGGCGGGGCGGCGGCGUACGGCCGCCUUGGCACCGCCGCUCCUGUUGUUUCCGCUAUCUUCGCCGAUGCGCUGCGUGGAAAGCGCUUCAGUGAGCUGGUACGGCUCUCUGUGCUCCCUGCGAGGGUGGGUGCUGCUGCUGCUGCGGUGGCGGCGGCGAGCACGAUGACAGCCGCCACCCUCACUACACCGGGGCAGCAGGGUGGGCGAGGGGAGGAAGGGCACAGCAGCCCUCCCGUCGCAGCGGACAUGCUCGACGUAUUCGCAUCUUUCCAGUUGGACCUCACCCUCCCUGACGCCUUCCAGCGCAUCUUGCAGCCGCGGGACUUGAGCGUGUACGUGCAACCCUUGACGAGCAGGACGGAGCGCAGCUACCAGACCUACUUCUGGCAGCGCCGCCAGCGCCUCUACCUGGAGGAGGGCGACGCAGGGGAAGGGAAGGCAUCGCCGGCCGCUGCAGCUGCAUCCGGUUUAAAUGGCAUUGCGUUCGCCGACGUGUGGAGCUACGUCUUUGGCUACAAGUGCGCCCUCUACUACGCCCGAAUCACGCUGCGGGAGCACAAGAAGCGCCUACAACAACGCGACACCCAAGAUGCGCAGGCGGCCCAAGCGAUGGGCCUGCCAGGACAUACUGCGACGCAGCACCUGCGCUACGUGUCGCGAGGCCUGGGGACUGCCUACUACACCCUCAACUUCGCUGUGGAGCAGCUGCUCUCCUUCACGCAAAACGUCGCGAUGCGCGUCGUGUAUAACUUGGAGCGCCUGCUCGCCAAGGCCAUGAGCCCGUCUCCGGAGUUGUUAUCCUGCAUGGAGCUGUGCUACCAGUUGGAUGCGCUUCUACUAGAGCUGAGCAUUGUGUCUUUCCCUGCUCGCCCGCCUGUUGCGCUGAACGUGCGGGAGCGGGGCAUGCAGUCCCCUGCCGCCGAAGUGGUGCGCGCGGCGGUGCAGCGGGCGCUCGAGGUGGCGCUCGACCCUUCGCGCCUGCCUGUGUCGCACAUCAAUAUCAGCACACGCAAUGCCGUCGAGGCGCUCGUUGCGGCGGUCUUUGCCGCGGCGGAGAGCCACCCGUCCACCCUCGCCACGCAUCUGAAGCCGCUGGUCGUGCGGCUGACUUUCAAUCGGUACUACGGCACCGAUGAGGAGAUACGGUCGUUUCACUUUCGGUGACACACCUGCACACGUACACCGUUACAUUGCAAUGGCGCAGACGCGCAUUUCUAUCUCUCGGUGCUGUGCUGUGUGUGUGUGUGUGUGUGUGUGUGCGUGUGUGUGCGUGCACACAGGUUUGGCGUGCAAGAAAUGGCGAAGCCACAACGAAAG